rnacentral:lncRNA from 1 species
CCACAGAGGUCAAGAGAACAUCCCAUGCUCAUCGUACCAUCCGACUUUCAGCACUGAGCAACUGAGGGACAGGGAGUCUGGUGUGAAGGAUACUAGACACCCAGAGGCUGACAGUGACAGAGAGCCCACAGAAUUCCUUGGAGAGUGCUCUUUGCAACCAAACGGAAGAACAAAAGGACAAUUCUCAGAAGCACACCAAAAACGAAACCAAAUAAAAACCCCAUAAAAAAUCCCUAUGGGGU